CAGCUGUAAAGGGGAAAAUGAUCAGCUUUAGAUGAACACUCCUUAAAUAAUUAACUUGCCUAUAUGCAGAGUGGAGCAGGAACCAGACCCAAAGUUUAAAGGAAUAAAAGAGAUGGAUGCAAAAUAAAGGCCAUGAUGCCAAGGUCUAUCCUGUUUUUAGAUACCCAUUGGACAUCUGAACGGGCUGGAGACAGAGGAAGCACCUUGGGAAAAUGCAAGAAGCCUUCCAAGGAAAGAAGAAUAAGCAUCUUGAGACUUGGGAACUCGAGGACACACUCAGGAAAGUGGGGCAGUGGGGUGUGCAAGAAACCUCCAAUAAGGGAGGGAUUGAGUACCCAGGCGGAAACUUAAUCACAGGACCUACCAAAAAUAGGGAAUAAAAAUUCUAGGCCUAGGAAGCGGGAAGAACAAUGGAAAGAUGCCAUCUGUAUGAGUCUUCUUUUCCUCUGAAGAGUCCUAAUCAGAGAGAAUAAACCAUGGUGAUGGUGGGAGUGAAUCUGCCCCCAUGGAGAAUGAGUCAGCCAAUCAGAAUGUUUCUAUAAAAUAGUUAAAGUGCAAUGUCCAUUACUUCUAAGGAUUUUUUCUUUGACUUAAAGUGUUAAUUAGACUUGUUUGAUACCUUGAUUUUCAUGGGUAAACUAAAUUAGAAAUGGGCAAAUUACUUUUAACAUCAAUGGGAUCAAUCUUCAUAAAUGCAUUUGUUAUAGAUGGAGCUGGAGAAUAUCAUGCUAAGUGAAGUAAGCCAAUCCCAAAAAACCAAGGGCUGACUGUUCUCUCUGAUAAGUAGAGGCUGAUC
rnacentral:lncRNA from 1 species